AGCAGCCGCGGUAAUUCCAGCUCCAAUAGCGUAUAUUAAAGUUGUUGCAGUUAAAAAGCUCGUAGUUGAAUUUCGGGGUUAGUAGGUUGGUCAUGCCUCUGGUAUGUACUGGUCUCACUGAUUCCUCCUUCCUGAUGAGCCGUAAUGCCAUUAAUUUGGUGUUGCGGGGAAUUUGGACUGUUACUUUGAAAAAUUAGAGCGUUUAAAGCAAGCUAACGCUUGAAUACAUUAGCAUGGAAUAAUGAAAUAGGACGUUCGAUCCUAUUUUGUUGGUUUCUAGGAUUGACGUAAUGAUUAAUAGGGAUAGUUGGGGGCACUAGUAUUCAAUUGUCAGAGGUGAAAUUCUUGGAUUUAUUGAAGACUAACUACUGCGAAAGCAUUUGCCAAGGAUGUUUUCAUUAAUCAAGAACGAAAGUUAGGGGAUCGAAGACGAUCAGAUACCGUCGUAGUCUUAACCAUAAACUAUGCCGACUAGGGAUCGGAUGAUGUUAAUUUUUUAAUGUACUCAUUCGGCGCCUUA
rnacentral:misc_RNA from 1 species